rnacentral:rRNA from 1 species
AAAGUUGAAAAGAACUUUGAAGAGAGAGUUCAAGAGUACGUGAAACCGUUCAGGGGUAAACCUGAGAAACCCAAAAGAUCGAAUGGGGAGAUUCAUCGUCAGCUCAUUUUGUAUAUUUAUAAGUUGUGAUGUGGGUUACUACUUGUAGUAUUGCCUAUACAUUCUUAUAUAUUUAGUUGCAAGAUGUUGUCGGCGUGCACUUCUCCCCUAAUAGAACGUCGCGACCCGUUGAAUGUCGGUUUACGGCCCAAUUGGAAGUUUUUAAUAUUUUAUAAUAUUAAAGGCCCUUGGUGUUUUCUAACCGGCUGUUUAGCGGUAUUCGUAUGGUAUUAAGCCGCAUUAUAUAUGCGUCCAUAUCCGUCGCAAGCGAGGCAUAUUUUUAGUAGUAUGGACCUAGUGCCGUCGCUGAAAAUGGCCAGCUGUUGGUUGUUACGGUAUUCUAGGACUGGCUAAAAUUUUUACCGGUCAGCGAUGCUACUGCUUUGGGUACUUUCAGGACCCGUCUUGAAACACGGACCAAGGAGUCUAACAUGUGCGCAAGUCAUUGGGAUUUUUUAUAAAUUAAACCUAAAGGCAUAAUGAAAGUAAAGGUCGUCCUUGCGUCGACUGAGGGAGGAUAAGUUAUGUUAAGAUAUAUCUUCGCACUCCCGGGGCGUCUCAUUCUCAUUAUGAGGAGAGGCGCACCUAGAGCGUACACGUU